CAAACUCGGGUACUAACCAACUAUUCUCUCAACAGUGAUUCACUUUCACUGUCCGAUCUACCGGAACAACAUCUGGAAUACUCGGACUACUCGAGUAUCCACCAGCACCAUAACUCAACUCUCGCAAUUUGCUACACACAUUGCUCUGCGAGUUGGUCCAUCGUUUCCAUCUCUACUAUGAGUCUCAUCACUAGACCAUCACUAGCAACUCGCUAGUGCCACACAGCUCGCUACCUGCACCGGUAGAUACUACGCUCUCACAACACAAACAUACCCGGGUAUCUACAUUUACCCGUCCCCUUGGUCCCUUCCAUAAUUACACAUAUA
rnacentral:lncRNA from 1 species